GGGCAGCAGUAGGGAAUUUUCCACAAUGGGCGAAAGCCUGAUGGAGCAACACAGCGUGUAGGAUGAAGGCCUUCGGGUUGUAAACUACUGUUAUAUGGGAAGAAAAACUAGUAUAGGAAAUGAUAUUAGCUUGACGGUACCAUGUCAGAAAGCAACGGCUAACUAUGUGCCAGCAGCCGCGGUAAUACAUAGGUUGCAAGCUUUAUCCGGAAUUAUUGGGCGUAAAGCGUCUGUAGGUUGUUUGUUAAGUCUGGUGUUAAAACUUGGAGCUCAACUCCAAAUUGCAUUGGAUACUGGCAGACUAGAAUUGUUUAGAGGUUAGCGGAAUUCCUUGUGAAGCGGUGGAAUGCGUAGAUAUAAGGAAGAACACCAACAUGGCGAAGGCAGCUAACUGGGAACAUAUUGACACUGAGAGACGAAAGCGUGGGGAGCAAACAGGAUUAGAUACCCUGGUAGUCCACGCUGUAAACGAUGAUGACUAGUUGAUGGAAACCAUCGACGCAGCUAACGCAUUAAGUCAUCCGCCUGAGUAGUAUGCUCGCAAGAGUGAAACUUAAAGGAAUUGACGGGGAUCCGCACAAGCGGUGGAGCAUGUGGUUUAAUUUGAAGAUACGCGUAGAACCUUACCCACUCUUGACAUCUUUUGCAAAGCUAUAGAGAUAUAGUGGAGGUUAACAGAAUGACAGAUGGUGCAUGGUUGUCGUCAGC
rnacentral:rRNA from 2 species